rnacentral:rRNA from 1 species
GACGAACGCUGGCGGCGUGCCUAAUACAUGCAAGUCGAACGCAGUGGGGACGGGUGAUUAACACGUGGGUAACCUCCCAUCAGAGGGGAUAACACUUGGAAACAGGUGCUAAACCGAUACUGAUGGAUGGACCCGCGGUGCAUUAGCUAGUUGGUGAGGUAACGGCUCACCAAGGCCACGAUGCAUAGCCGGGCUGGGAGGGUGAUAGGCCACACUGGGACCUGGAAACGGCCCAGACUCCUACGGGAGGCAGCAGUAGGGAAUCUUCGGCAAUGGACGAAAGUCCGACCGAGCAACGCCGCGGGAGUGAAGAAGGUUUUUGGAGUGUAAAACUACGUUGUUAAGGAAGCGGUACUUAACCAGAAAGGGACGGCUAACUACGUGCCAGCAGCCGCGGUAAUUC